CCUAGUAACUGCGAGUGAAGAGGGAAAAGCUCAAAUUUAAAAUCUGGCAGUCUUUGAUUGUCCGAGUUGUAAUUUAGAGAAGUGUUACCCGUGUUGGGCCGUGUAUAAGUCUCCUGGAAUGGAGCGUCAUAGAGGGUGAGAAUCCCGUCUUUGACACGGACUUCCAGUGCAUUGUGGUGCGCUCUCAAAGAGUCGAGUUGUUUGGGAAUGCAGCUCUAAAUGGGUGGUAAAUUCCAUCUAAAGCUAAAUAUUGGGGAGAGACCGAUAGCGAACAAGUACCGUGAGGGAAAGAUGAAAAGAACUUUGGAAAGAGAGUUAAACAGUACGUGAAAUUGCUGAAAGGGAAACGCUUGAAGUCAGUCGCGUUGUCUGGGGAUCAGCCUUCCUUUUGGUUGGUGUACUUCCUAGUUAACGGGUCAGCAUCAGUUUUGAUCAGUGGAUAAAAGUUUGAGGAAUGUGGCAUCUUCGGGUGUGUUAUAGCCUCUUAUUGUAUACAUUGGUUGGGACUGAGGAACUCAGCACGCCGCAAGGCCGGGUUUUUAA
rnacentral:rRNA from 2 species